GGGAGCAGUCAGCACGAGGAGGUGGGUACGGGGAGAAGACGAGAGACGAGGAGGGAGGCAGCAAACGGAAAGGAAGGGAGUGAGCCCAGACAGAGGAUCCAGCUGGAACAAUGACGGGGGCCUGCCCAGCCAGCCCCAGCUGCUUCCUUUUCAGUGGCCCUGUGCCCCCUGCCAGAUCCUGCCUGGGGGAACUGGAGUCUGGGUCCA
rnacentral:lncRNA from 1 species